AAUAGAUACCCGGGUAGUCCUUGCUGUAAACGAUGUAUACUUGGUGUAGUUGGACUCAACCCCAGCUGUGCCGAAGCUAACGCGAUAAGUAUACCGCCUGGGGAGUACGCUCGCAAGGGUGAAACUCAAAAGAAUUGACGGGGACCCGCACAAGCAGUGGAGCAUGUGGUUUAAUUCGAUGCAACGCGAAGAACCUUACCCAGGUUUGACAUGCAAAGGACAGAGUUAGAGAUAGCUUCUCCCGCAAGGGUCUUUGCACAGGUGCUGCAUGGCUGUCGUCAGCUCGUGCCGUGAGGUGUUGGGUUAAGUCCCGCAACGAGCGCAACCCUUAUCGUUAGUUGCCAGCACGUGAUGGUGGGAACUCUAACGAGACUGCCCGGGUGAACCGGGAGAAGGUGAGGAUGACGUCAAGUCCGCAUGGCCCUUAUGUCUGGGGCUACACACGUGCUACAAUGGUCGGUACAGAAGGCAGCAAAACCGCAAGGUGUAGCAAAUCCUGUAAAGCCGGCCCAGUUCAGA
rnacentral:rRNA from 1 species